AACGAACGCUGGCGGCGCGUCUUAACCAUGCAAGUCGAGCGGCAGGCAGCAAUGCCGAUAGCGUCGGACUGGUGAGUAACCCGUGGAUAACGUACCCCGAUGUCCGGGACAGCCUGUAGAAAUAGAGGGUAAUACCGGAUAGAUCACUGUUUACUUGCGGUAGACAGCGGGAAAGGAGCUUCGUCUCCGCUACGGGAUCGGUCUGCGGCCCAUCCGCUGGACGGCGGGGUAAAGGCCCGCCGCGGCGAGGACGGGUAUCCGGCCUGAGAGGGCGGACGGACACAUUGGGACUGAGAUACGGCCCAGACUCCUACGGGAGGCAGCAGGUAAGAAUAUUCCGCAAUGGGGGGAACCCUGAAGGAGCGACGCCGCGUGAACGAAGAAGGCCGGAAGGUUGUAAAGUUCUUUUAUGUGCGAGGAAUAAGUUUAGGAGGAAAUGCCGGGACGGUGACGGUAGGGAAGGAAUAAGCACCGGCUAAUUACGUG
rnacentral:rRNA from 1 species